AGGGAUUUGGCUCAGCAGCAAAAGCACCUGCCUUGCAAGCAUGUGGGCAUGAGUUCAAUCCCUA
rfam:Cavia porcellus supercont2_39 genomic scaffold, whole genome shotgun sequence.